ACUGGAUUCUCAAGAAAAACAAAGAUGCAGAGAUUGGCGAACAUUGUGAGCCAAGACAAUGCAGCAUUUGAAAGAAUACAGGAACACCUGUGGGUUGUAUUAUUUGCUAGUGGCAGCAGUGAGUAUAAGUUGGACUAGAGGAUAGUGAGCUUCAAGAAGGAAGGAGAAGCGGAUAAUGCUGCAGCUGAAGCUAUAUGGACUCAUCUCCCCUAAAGCAAACAGGACGUGUUAGCAAUGAGUUAGCCAGUGGGGUACAAACUGAUAUAGCAUCAGAAAUGUGAAUAUCAACAUUGAAACACUGCCGAUGAGGCUGAAGAGAAACAGAUAAAGCCCAAGUGAUGAUGGACGAUGAGAACUUUGGAUGUUUGACCACCACGGUCUUGGCAUGAGCCACAGCCCACCAGGAAUGAGAGAUGCCAGGGCCCUGGGAACCUCUGGCUGUAUGUACACAUUGAAUUCCCUUAAUGGAAAGCAGUAAGAACAAAAUACUUGGCUUUGUCCAAUGCCAACAAGAAGGGGUUCCAGCUAUGCCCGAGGCCAGAGAGAUGAAGAGGUGUGGCAGCCCAUUACUGCUGGUCAGAAGGGUUGCCCACCCGUUAGUGUUUGGGUGCCAAUUUGGGCACUGCCCCCAUGAUUAAGGAGACCCUAAUCUGAAGUGUUCUGCUAGCCAGAGGCCAUGCACGUACAUCGUAUCAGUGCUUCUUGCAAGAAGUUCCUCUUUACUGACAACAAAAGGACAUGUCUUUAGUAUGUCUUGUUCUGCUGCAUCCAGUAAGUACAAUAGUGGCUUGCUCAGCUGCCACACAAUAGAAAUCUGGGUUUCAUCUGAAUUUUCAAGGUUGUUGAAAGUGCCUUUAUUAUUUUUAUCUCCUCCCUUUUCUUCUCCGUAGACAUGUCAGCCCCC